AUGUUUACACAGGAAGGUUUUGCGGAAAGCGAAAUAUUUGCAUCUGCAUCGCAAGUCUCGGUAAAUUUGUAGCUUUUAACAAUGAAACUGACUACCUUCCGACCAUGACGCGCAGAAUUUUGACACUUCUUGGUGAGAUAUAAGGGUUUCUAUAGGUGUUGGGCUUUUUAAUGUAGCCUGAAGCAAGACGAAAUUUAUUACCUUAUAUGGAAUAUUUCGAGCUGUUUCCGCACAAACGUUACGCACGUGCAUUCCUGUGGAUUCAUGAUGGAUGUUACGCAUUAUAGACAAAACAGUUUAUUCUCCGUAAUGUUCUUUAGUCUACAGCUUGCUGGUCAAAAUCUUUUGCGAGCGCUUUCGUAUCGUUCAGCAAAGCUUAAAGCUGCUCUUCGAUACAUACGCGACUUCUCCUGAUACUAACAAUACAAUGCUAAGCGGAUACGUGAUGAGAAAAUAGGAAGACAUCGACAGACAACAAAGAAUUGAUGUAGUGCCAAAUUCUCAGCAGGAACAUUUAAAGAAAUGUCUGGAAACCACUGACGCGUUAAAGAUCGUCUCGCUAUCACACGGCAUGUGAAGUUUUCUCCUGAUUCAAUUCAACUGGUUAGCUAUUAGAGGCUGGUCAUGAUGUAAAGGACACAUCAGGCUGAAAUCGUCUGAUGCUUAAGGUAUAGCCAUAGACGCAGUUAUGUUAUAUAAAUCCAUCUUGUUCUAAUCUGGCGACAGUUGCAAAAGACCACAAAACGGGCUUGUGACAUAAAUACUAUUAAGAUUUAUAACCUUUGCUGUAGUAAACAUUCUUACAAGUCUGUAAUUUUAGUCUACUAGGCCGCAAAUUCUAUUAAAGCAUCCCAAUAUUUCAUAUACUGUGGCUAAAAAUCUUUGUAGCUCUGAACCUGAGCAAAAUUUUUCUCUAUCAGAACUUUACAGUAUUUUCUCCCUCGGAAUAACCACUGGACGAUUUAUUGGGAUAACAUCGACCCACUUUGCUUCGAUAUGUGCUGAACUGAGCUCGCUUAUGUUCUCGUUAAUGUAUCUAUUCUGCAUGCAGACUUGAGAAAGAUUAAAGGUUAGGAACGCCAGAAUCCUAGUGAUAAGCACAAAGCGAAACUGAAACCCAUUGGCGCCAGUCGCGUCAAUUUGAUGCAUGGAAAUUUGGGGAAACGUUGAUUGGCGCGUCUUAGGAUAUUGCAAGAGCUUACUUAGAUUGAUUGGCUCCUGGAAGGUUAUAGGAAGAAAGAGAGUAUUAUAAAAUCGAGCGACGCGCAAAUUUCUGUGGCUUUAACAACAGUACAAACAGGAAGUUACAUGUAGUAUAACUUAUUUUUUUCUGCUAAUUUUAGUUUGUCUUGCGGCAGUCUCGUGAUCAUCUAGGGCCGAUCAACAACAGUCAAGGUCAGCCUUUUGCAGUUUGUUUUGUCUAAGUUAUCGGCUAGCUUUUAGCAGUUGGUCUCGCGAUAUUUUGAGUCAUACCGGCUCUGAGAGUCAAGAGGUUCUCAGUACCUCUUAGCACAAGCUGGUUGGCAGCCAACAUUUCAUUCCCGAAGAUGACUCCUUCCACCGGUGUUAUGAUAUAGUUUUCCCACAAAAUAAAUCUCAUCCCUAAAACGAUGCGCCUAUUCCAAGAACGAGAAAACUGAUUUUCUCACAGGUAGCACAAGCUCAGUAUGUGAGCGUCAUAAUAUCGACAUAAUGUAAGGGUUCAACCCUAAUUAAUUAUACAGAGCGUAGUUAAUAAUUAGACAUUGCAUGGAACAUACUUCUGUCGCUGUUAAGUGUACGAAAUGGACAUUAAAAUUUUCCUUUAAACUCACCUAAGUUGUUUUCUUGUCGUUUCUUACGAUUUUACAGCGUUAAAGGCAUCUUAAGACUUUUUGUGAGCAGGGUGGUUAUCCCUCUAAGGGUGGAAAAUAAAAGCCUUACUCCGUGGCUAAGCUGUAAAAUCGAGAUCAUCUACGCUGUGUUUGCUUAAACUUCGUUUUUUGGGCAUAAUCCAAGAUUGGAUUCUUAAAAUCUAAAAACAGAUUCAGUUACGUUUAUUUACUAAAAUCACUCGCGCGGAUCAUGGUACAACAAGGGAACCGAAGUAUCCACUCUGGGCAAGGACCCUUCUGUCAGAUUGACCACCAGUCUGUCUGCAGAAAAAUACUGUUAAGUUCAAAAUAUUAAAAAGCGCACAGCUUGUUAUCGAUCAGUUCAAUCCUUUUAUUAUGAUAUUGGUCCAGGAUCAAAACGGGCAAACUGAAAUUUGCUCUUACUGAUAAUAAAUGGGGCACUUGAACUGUACACGGGCUUUUAUAAAUUUUAACAUUUUUCUACAACAAUUCUUCGCUUCUGUUGGAUGUCCUUUUGGUGUUAAAGAGUGUCUUUUUAGUUUUUCAGAAUUGUGGUUAAAAUAGCUAGUGAUACUUUUUGUUGAUUUAUCCCAUUAGAUCACAGAACCGAGUUGUACAGUUUAAGUCUGCAACUGACCAAGUUCAACCCAGCUGAAAACAUUUAUUCUUAAUUUCUUCCGUAGUUUUAAGCAGCACAAGCUUGGAAACCUAACCAGACUCCCAUCAUUCAUGGCAAGGAGAGAAACCAAUGGCACGACACCGCCUGUGGAAGGAACAUUGGAUUUUGAGGACGACACUUUAAGAGCGAUAGCAGAGGUGUACAACGAUGACGGCAAUGAUGAAUUCAAAAAGAAGGAAUUCAAUAACGCCUUACACUUCUACACGGAGGGAAUUAAAGUGAACUGCAACGAUAAGGAACUGAUCGCAAAGCUGUACAGUAACAGAGCAACAGCCCAUUUCUAUUUGGGAAAUUUUCACGACACACUGAAUGACGUAAAAGCUGCCAAUGAGUUGCAACCUUCCUACAUCAAACCCAUAGAGAGAGGUGAGGUUUGUUGGGAAGUCAAAAGGUGUCUAAUUGCUCCUAACCAAACCUUUUUAAAAAAUAUCUUGCGAAUCCCGGGGUCGUUUCAAAAAAUUUCUAGUCCAGGAAAGUUUUGUUUCAAUUUUGUUGCACAACAUUUUUUAAUUCUAAAAUUUACUUUGGAAGUAUUUAAAAGAUCUGGUCCAUUUAUUAAUUGAUUUUUUGAUUGCUUGCUUGAUUGAUUAAUUGGUUGGUUGAUUGACUGAUUGAUUGA